UCGCUUUGACAGCAAAUAGGCUAAUAUUAGAACAAGAGAGAGAAGAUUAGCUUAGCCUCUGCACAAAGAAUUUGUGCAAAUCUGUGAAGCGUUCCACAUUUUU